rnacentral:rRNA from 1 species
UACGAAGGGUGCAAGCGUUGCUCGGAAUUAUUGGGCGUAAAGGGUACGUAGGUGGUUACGUAUGUCUGGGGUGAAAUCCCUGAGCUCAACUCAGGAAGUGCCUUGGAAACGGCGUAACUAGAGUGCUGGAGAGGUUCGCAGAAUUCCCGGUGUAGCGGUGAAAUGCGUAGAGAUCGGGAGGAAUACCAGAGGCGAAGGCGGCGAACUGGACAGCAACUGACACUAAACUACGAAAGCGUGGGGAGCAAACAGG